UAAAGUUUUUGGCAAAAUUAGGGUAACCUAAUGACGCAAAACUAUAGGGCCUAUAUAUUAGGCAGCCAGUUGCACUU
rnacentral:ncRNA from 1 species